rnacentral:rRNA from 1 species
AUUGAACGCUGGCGGAAUGCUUUACACAUGCAAGUCGAACGGCAGCACGGACUUCGGUCUGGUGGCGAGUGGCGAACGGGUGAGUAAUGUAUCGGAACGUGCCCAGUCGUGGGGGAUAACGUAGUGAAAAUUACGCUAAUACCGCAUACGAUCUAUGGAUGAAAGCGGGGGAUCGCAAGACCUCGCGCGAUUGGAGUGGCCGAUAUCAGAUUAGGUAGUUGGUGGGGUAAAGGCCCACCAAGCCAACGAUGUGUAGCUGGUCUGAGAGGACGACCAGCCACACUGGAACUGAGACACGGUCCAGACUCCUACGGGAGGCAGCAGUGGGGAAUUUUGGACAAUGGGCGAAAGCCUGACCCAGCCAUUCCGCGUGCAGGAUGAAGGCCCUCGGGUUGUAAACUGCUUUUGUACAGAACGAAAAGGUUUCUACUAAUACUAGGAGCUCAUGACGGUACUGUAAGAAUAAGCACCGGCUAACUACGUGCCAGCCGCCGCCGUAA